rnacentral:rRNA from 1 species
CCAAGCUACAAAGGGCGCACGGUGGAUGCCUAGGCAGCAGGAGGCGAAGAAGGACGUGGGUAGCUGCGAUAAGCCACGGGGAGCCGCUAACCAGGCUUUGAUCCGUGGAUUUCCGAAUGGGGAAACCUGACGGGGUAAUACCCUGUCGUCCGUUGCUGAAUACAUAGGCGGCGGAUGCCAACCCGGAGAAGUGAAACAUCUCAGUACCCGGAGGAAAAGAAAGCAAAAGCGAUUCCCGUAGUAGCGGCGAGCGAAACGGGAGGAGGCUAAACCGACGGACCUGGUCCGUCGGGGUCGUGGGGCCCAAUGGGGAUGUCCCGGGAGAGGCCGAGUAAUGAUCGGCCUGAUGGCUAGCAGAAACGUCUGGAAAGUCGUGCCGUAGAGGGUGAUAGCCCCGUAAGCGAAAGCCUGAAAAUCUCCUGAUUGGGUACCCGAGUAGGGCGGGACACGUGAAAUCUUGCCCGAAUUUGCGAGGACCACCUCGUAAGCCUAAAUACUACCUGCUGACCGAUAGCGUACCAGUACCGUGAGGGAAAGGUGAAAAGAACCCCUGUUAGGGGAGUGAAAAGAAUCUGAAACCGUGUGCCUACAAGCAGUGGGAGGGCUAUGUCCUUCGGCUCGCUUCGGCGAGCCAUUCGAAGGAAAGGCCUGACUGCGUACCUCUUGCAUCAUGAAGCGGUGACUUAGUGUGUGUGGCAAGGUUAAGCCGUGAGGCGUAGCCACAGCGAAAGCGAGUCUGAAUAGGGCGACAUAGUUGCAUGCACUAUGACCCGAAGCUGAGUGAGCUACCCAUGGCCAGGGUGAAGCGCAGGUAAAACUGCGUGGAGGCCCGAACCCACCGGAGUUGAAAAUCCGGGGGAUGAGCUGUGGGUAGGAGUGAAAGGCUAAUCAAACUCAGUAAUAGCUGGUUCUCCCCGAAAGCUAUCUAGGUAGCGCCUCGGGAAACUCAACUAUGGAGGUAGAGCACUGGAACGGCUAGGGGUCCUACCAGAUUACCAAACCGUACCAAACUCCGAAUGCCAUAGAUUGCUAUCCCGGGAGACAGUCCACGACUGAUAACGGCCGUGGGCGAGAGGGAAACAACCCAGACCGCCGGCUAAGGCCCCCAAAUCAAUGCUAAGUGGGAAAGGAUGUGGGAGCGCACAGACAACCAGGAGGUUGGCUUAGAAGCAGCCAUCCUUCAAAGAAAGCGUAAUAGCUCACUGGUCAAGUGAACCCGCGCCGAAAAUGUAACGGGGCUCAAGCAUUGUGCCGAAGCCGCGGCUUGCAGGUCUCUUCGGAGACAUGCAGGGGUAGGGGAGCAUUCCUGUGGCGGUGAAGGUGGACCGAAAGGACUGCUGGAGCUGCAGGAAGAGCUGAUGCCGCUAUGAGUAACGAUAAUGCGGGUGAGAAACCCGCACGCCGUAAGCCUAAGGUUUCCUGGGCCAGGUUAAUCCACCCAGGGUUAGUCGGAACCUAAGCCGAGGCCGAAAGGCGUAGGCGAUGGAGAACAGGUUAAUAUUCCUGUACCACCUUCGUGGAGCAUGAGGGGGGACGGAGAAGGAUAGCUGCGCCGGGCGCCGGACGUCCCGGUCCAAGCCCGUGGCGGGGCCCGUACGAAUAAAGGCGGGUCAAUAACCGUGAGAGGUGAUGGGGUGGCCCUUGUGGCCGAAAGGCAGUGAGUCCAUGCUUCCAAGAAAAGCCUCGCAUGCGAUGAAGCGUUGGUGUCCGUACCGCAAACCAACACAGGUAGGCGGGGAGAGUAUCCCAAGGCGCUCGAGAGAACCGUAUCCAAGGAACUCGGCAAAUUGGCACCGUAACUUCGGAAGAAGGUGUGCCAUGCCUGGUGAAGGGACUUGCUCCCGGAGCUGGGUGUGGUCGCAGUGACCAGGGGGUAGCGACUGUUUACCAAAAACACAGGACUCUGCGAACUCGAAAGAGGAUGUAUAGGGUCUGACGCCUGCCCGGUGCCGGAAGGUUAAGGUGAGCCGUUAGCUCGUAAGGGCGAAGCGGUGAGCCGAAGCCCCGGUAAACGGCGGCCGUAACUAUAACGGUCCUAAGGUAGCGAAAUUCCUUGUCGGGUAAGUUCCGACCUGCACGAAUGGCGUAACGACUUCCCCACUGUCUCGGAUACGGACU